UAAUACGAAGGGGGCUAGCGUUGUUCGGAAUGACUGGGCGUAAAGGGCGCGUAGGCGGCUGAUCAAGUCAGAGGUGAAAUCCCCGGGCUCAACCCGGGAAUUGCCUUUGAGACUGGUCGGCUUGAGAGCGGGAGAGGUGAGUGGAAUUCCCAGUGUAGAGGUGAAAUUCGUAGAUAUUGGGAAGAACACCAGUGGCGAAGGCGGCUCACUGGCCCGUUUCUGACGCUGAGGCGCGAAAGCGUGGGGAGCAAACAGG
rnacentral:rRNA from 1 species